rnacentral:tRNA from 1 species
GGGGUUGUAGCUCAGUGGUAGAGCACUUGCCUCACAUGUGUGAGGCCCUGGGUUCAACCCUCAGCACCA